GCUGGGCGUGGUGGCGCAUGCCUGUAGUCCCAGCUACUCGGGAGGCUGAGGUGGGAGGAUCGCUUGAACCCAGGGGCUGGGGGCUGCCGGGAGCUGGGAUCGCGCCACUGCACUCCAGCCUGGGUGACAGAGCAAGACCCUGUCUCAA
ensembl:misc_RNA Metazoa_SRP Metazoan signal recognition particle RNA